GACGAACGCUGGCGGCGUGCUUAACACAUGCAAGUCGAACGGAAAGGCCCUGCUUUUGUGGGGUGCUCGAGUGGCGAACGGGUGAGUAACACGUGAGUAACCUGCCCUUGACUUUGGGAUAACUUCAGGAAACUGGGGCUAAUACCGGAUAGGAGCUCCUGCUGCAUGGUGGGGGUUGGAAAGUUUCGGCGGUUGGGGAUGGACUCGCGGCUUAUCAGCUUGUUGGUGGGGUAGUGGCUUACCAAGGCUUUGACGGGUAGCCGGCCUGAGAGGGUGACCGGCCACAUUGGGACUGAGAUACGGCCCAGACUCCUACGGGAGGCAGCAGUGGGGAAUAUUGCGCAAUGGGCGGAAGCCUGAUGCAGCAACGCCGCGUGCGGGAUGACGGCCUUCGGGUUGUAAACCGCUUUCGCGUGUGACGAAGCGUGAGUGACGGUAAUGGGUAAAGAAGCACCGGCUAACUACGUG
rnacentral:rRNA from 1 species